AGAGUUUGAUCGUGGCUCAGAAUCAACGCUGGCGGCGUGCCUCAGACAUGCAAGUCGAACGAUUAAGACUUCCCUUCGGGAAGUGUAUAAAGUGGCGCACGGGUGAGUAACACGUAAGUAAUCUACCUUCGAGUGGGGAAUAACGUCCGGAAACGGACGCUAAUACCGCAUAAUGCAGCGGCAUCUAUGAUGACAGUUGUUAAAGGAGCAAUCCGCUUGAAGAGGAGCUUGCGGCAGAUUAGCUAGUUGGUAAGGUAAUGGCUUACCAAGGCUACGAUCUGUAACCGGUCUAAGAGGACGGUCGGUCACACUGACACUGAAUAACGGGUCAGACUCCUACGGGAGGCAGCAGUCGGGAAUUUUGGGCAAUGGGCGAAAGCCUGACCCAGCAACGCCGCGUGAAGGAUGAAGUAUUUCGGUAUGUAAACUUCGAAAGAAUGGGAAGAAUAAAUGACGGUACCAUUUAUAAGGUCCGGCUAACUACGUG
rnacentral:rRNA from 1 species